AUGAAGGCCAACGAGAUAAUGGCACGCUUCCGCCGCAUCGCGCCCAAACCCGUGCUCGCAUCACCACCCACCGCCGCCGUCGACCAGUCUCAGCAGAGAAGGUCGGGCAAGCGUGGGGCCCGGGACCUCGUUCCAGCGCCGGCCGACAAGAGGCUCAGGGGGGCGCCGUGUUAUCCUUUCCCCCCAUACCGCGCCUUGCCGUGGACUUCGCCGCUGGAGGCGACACCGGUGGCGUCCUCCCGAUGCUUAUUCCCCGGUGAUCGCGACGGCGACCUGCUCCGGAAGCCACAGGCGCCCAAGGUCAUCGUGCCCCGCCCGGCGCGGCCAGUUCGCACCACCAUCUGCGUCGACGCCAGCAGCGUCACGGGCGCCAACUCGGUGAAGCUGCCCGCGUGCAGGAUGACGGCGGAGCAGCUGGAAGCCGAGAUAGAGCGCGACGCUCUCCCGGCGGUCAUCUCGGGCCCUGGCGACCGUGUCAUCCGGGCCAACGACGCGUACAAGGCGCUGGUGGGACAGCCGGUCUGCCCGUGGCUAGACUCCGUGCCAGAUGACUCGUGCGCUGGCGCGUCUAGGCGGAUCAACGGCGAGGUGGUGCUGGACGUGCGGUGGUUCACCUCGACCGAGACGAUUAGGUCGAGCGCCGGAGGGACAUUCUCGUGCAGCUCCAGGAUCUCGUGGGAGCGCAAUGGCACACUGACCUCCGUCGCCAUGCCAUGCGACGUCAUGCGUUUUGACUGCGGCUCCGGUGACCACCGCUUCGUCUGGAGAUUUGACACCUAUCGAAUAUCGAAGGGAACGGUAAAAACUGAAAAUUGA
rnacentral:rRNA from 1 species